UUAAUAUUAGGGGUAAAUGGGGCUGUUACCCCCUAGAGGGUCCCCUAUAGAG
rnacentral:tRNA from 1 species